UGGACAGACCCAAGAAAGAUGCUGAUCCAUUGGAGCAGGCCCAGUGAAGAGCCACGGGAAUGAUGAAAGGAUUAGAAACCCUGCCUGAUAGCGAUAGGCUCAAAGAGCCCAAUCGGUUUAGUUUAACAAAGGGAAAGUUUAGGCUGAUCACAGUGUCUGCAGAAAUGGAAGGUGGGAAUAAAAUGAAAAUAGAUUCCCACAGCGUUUCUGCUGGAUGUUGUGUGACGUUAGCAGAAGGUCAAAAAAGCCUCCAAGCCCCAGGAGGAGUCAGCACGUUCUCCUCAGCAGCAAAAUGUUCCUUUAGCACAAGGUAAGAAACAGCUAAUCACACACACCCGUUCUAUUCUCCCUCUCUCUCUCCCACAGUCGGGGGGACCAGAGGGCAUGUGUAAAUGAGCCCCUCUCCCAAUGCACCAGGCCACAGCACAACCGUGACCUCUCUCCCACCCAGCCACCCCCACAAAGCCACGAGUGUAGGGAAGGGAGCGAGAUCAGCCUGGGGAGGACGGGCCCAUCCAUGUGAAAUGUGCUAUAAGGCAGCCAAACACAAAGUCCUUGGGACAAAGGCCUUGGCUGCGGAAUGGAGGACUGAGGCCGGCAGAGCUGAGAAUGGUUUAGGAGUUUGAGGAGCAAAGAAACUAACCCAAGGUGACACAGCAGAACAAGACUCACUCGGUCUGGCUGCCUUUUCUGGCAGUGCACAGUGCUGUUGUAGCCAUGUAAGUUGCAGGAUAUUAGAGCGACAAAGUGGGGGAGGAGAUGUCUUUCAUUGGACCAACUUCUGUUGGCGAGAGAGACCAGCUUUCGAGCUUACACAGUGGAAGUACAUAGUAAAAACACGCGUAUAGUUCCAAUGAAAACCUGGCUUUAAUUUCCAAUUCCAAAAGCAUUUUCUGUUGACUCCUUUAGCUCAGCAGGAAGCUUCUGCUGCCACAUCGAUAAAAGACGUUGAU